GGGCAGAGUGACUGUGAGCAAAACAAGAAGAGCUGUGUCACCAAGUUCCAUAAAAUCUGGGAGCCCAAGCAGCAUAUUUGUGGGAUUUGUCUGACAGAACGCAAUGGAAACAGAGCGUGGCAUUCGCUCCAUCUCCCCCAGAUUGUUCCAGAACAGUGCAAGUAGAGCCACCUCGUUCUUUUUUACUGCUGCAUAGAUUUCCAUUUCAGAUGUUCCAUAAGUUUCUGCUUCCAUCAGCAAUGUAAGGAAGUGCCCAAUUCCUCCUACCCCCACAUUACUGAGAAUCUUAUCAAAUUUUUUGAUCUUUUCUGAUUGGCUCUCCAAUCCUGAAGUCAAAAUGGAAUGCAUCUCUGCUCUUCCUCUGGGCAUCAUCUAAUUUUUUUGUUCUUGUUUUCCUUGUGCUGGAAUCUACAACACCCUCUCCUAGCCCCUCAACCAGCCUUUCUUCUGCAGAGCAACUUAGUUCUAAUUAGCAACUACAAACCUAUUCACCUACAUCCAAGAGUUCAGUAGUGUCUUUUAAGUAUGUAACAGGCAAUUCUUUUACAUUUUAUUGAGAUGACUACUUUAAAAAAAUUGGUUGCUACCCAGAACUGUUUAGAACAUUGCUUGCUUUAGGUAAGUGAGUGAAGCAAGAUGUGAUAACAUAGGGCUGGGGGACUAGAGUUGGGUAAUAUGGUAGCACAUGAUUUUGUUACUUGAGAUUGCCUGUAAUUGUAGACAUCAGUGAGCAGGGUGAUAUGAACCUCACAGGGGCUCUUGAAGUUCUGCUUCUUCCCUAUUCCUUAAUGCAAUACAAUAUUUAGGUUCAUCUUUUCAAUUUUCCUGGAGAAAUUAAAUACUGUGCCAUAAUAAAAAAAUAAGUAAUUUGAAAGUAAAGGAAGGGCAUGAAUGGAGAGAAGGCAGGAAAACAUUCUAGGUUGGAAAAAAUGGCAGAAGUAAUGUUGGGACAUUGGAGUGAUGGUGGAGGUGGGAAUAGAGUCUAGGAUCUCUUCAUCCCAUACUAUGCAUCUAUCUUCACAAAAUUAGUAUGGCCAAAUAUUAAAUCAGCUCAUUUCUGGUUGGGAAAAGUAGGGUGAAUGUGCCUUUCUAGCUGUCCUUGAGAUGUAAAUCUCCUGUAACAUAGCUUCCCUAGUGGUCACCUCAAAGGCUUUGUUCUCUCCAGGAUAGAUGCUACAGAGUGGGACAGUACUUGGUGUGUGUGUAUCUCAAUUUUUUUUUAACAUGACAAAUUGAACUAGGGGCAAGAGAAGGAUAGACAGAGGAGCCUAUGAUGGGGUGGUGGAUACUAAAUAUUUUCCAGGUGUAAGGAGCAGAGGAGGAAAAGGGAGACUGGGUAACCCUUUUUCAGACCAUCAUUUAGUCCAUUUUAUGUUGCAAAUAUUAGCAAACCUACUCCAGCUUUCUUAAACAGUAGGGUUUUCAUUACAACAUAGUUAAGAGAGUAGGCUUAGGAGUAAGAUUGCUUGAUCCUGAGUAAGUUACUUAAUCUUGGUGUCUCAGUUUCUUCAUUCCAGUUAAGUAAAUAUAUUUAAAUUAAAUUAUAUUAGUUAGUAAAUGUAAAGCACACAGAAAAGUGUUUGGCUUCUGGUGAGCUUUCAAUAAGUGUUAACUAUUAUUUGUUAUUAUUAUUUUAACAAAACCAACCUCCAAAACCUAUGAAGUCAGUUUACAGAAAGCCACCAGGAAAAGGGAAAUAAGAAGAUUCUUUACUUUGCUGUCAUUUGAUACACUUAGCAUUUUAAAUGACUAUAUGUACAAUAUUAACCAUGCCUUUCCACAAAACUAUGUGUGUGCAUAUGAAUUACAGGGCUUUCAUUUGAAACUGAACUAUCUGUGUUUGUAGUCACUUUAAUCAUACAACAAACCUACAAAAUAUUUAAGCAUAAAUUAUCAUGAUGACUAAAUAUGGAAAAGCUUCUGUUACCAAAACCUGCACCCAAAUUGACUGCACAGGAUGGGUAAUUGGAUGGUGGUGUAAAGAAUGCUCAUGAGGACUAGGCUGCUGCUAAUUAGAUCUUCUAUGCUAUUUAAAUGUUCUCCAAGCUUCAGGGAGUGCCCUGAAGGCAGUUGGACAUUAGCCUUGUGGUUUUUGAGGGUAACCUACAGUUUGUCAGCACAGGGGUGGAGGUGAGCACCAUGGGACUUUUCCCAGGCUGCUGGUUAACAUACUGUGGUUUCAAUCCUUUAAGCCAAUAAAUGGAGGAGAGAGAAAGAAGGCAGACUGAAAUUAGAGGAAAAGAGACAAAGAAAGGAAAAGUGGAAGUAAGAAUAAUAUUCAUGAAAUGUCUUCUUUGGGCCAGAUAUUUUUUUAGGAACUUUCACAUAUUGUGCUUACAUCAACUCUGUGGGAAAUGUAUGAUUAUACUAUCCUCAUUUGUAACAGACAUUGUUGGGUGCCUAUAUAACAUAUAACAGCUAUUUUUCUUCAUUUUUUUCUUGCUGAUGGCGCUUUUUUUUUUUUAGUGUUUACUUCCCAUACAAAACUUAUGUCUCCAUGUCUCCAUCCUUCAGCAAUAGGGGUAAUUCUGAAAGGUCAUUGUUUUGCAAUUGCCCUUGAAAGGAAAUUCUUGGACAUAACAACAGAUAAGAUUCUAGCCAAUGAAAGGUGAUGAGAAGGUUGCUGAGAAGUUUCUGAGAAAGGUUUCUUUAUUCUUUAACAAAUACCCUGGAAAGAGACAGGCCUUCUGCUGCUGUUCAUGGUUGUACCUGCACAGGAUGCCUGAAAAGGAGUAACCGUGGGGUCAGAAGAGGAGCCAGCGUGAGGACAAAGCAGAUACACUGAAGUACCACCUGUCACUGAAUUUUUGUGCAAGAGUAUAAACAUUCUCAUUGUUUAAUCUUUCUGUGGGAGACGCUUUACUAUGUGUAGCAAAGUCAUUCUAACUGACAUACCAUUUUCCAUUGUAUGAGAAAACUGAUGUACAGAAAGGUUAAGAAACUUGCCUGCAUUUGCAUGCAUAAUGAGGAGUGGAGAGAACAGGUUGUGCCUUCUAAUAUACAGGCAAGAUAUGUCUCUUUUAAACAGCACAUACAGACACACUCCAAAAUGACAAUUUCCAUCAUUUUUUAAAAAUUAAAUGAGACAAAGACUCUAAAACUAUUUAAAUAACAUGUACAUUACUGUCUUGGGAUUUAUUUUUGUUUCAGCUCUAUUGAGAUAUAGUUGACAAAUAAAAUGGUAUGAAUUUAAGG
rnacentral:lncRNA from 1 species